rnacentral:rRNA from 1 species
UACGUAGGGUGCGAGCGUUAAUCGGAAUUACUGGGCGUAAAGCGUGCGCAGGCGGUUCGUUAUGUCCGUUGUGAAAGCCCCGGGCUCAACCUGGGAAUGGCAAUGGAAACUGGCGGGCUAGAGUGUGGCAGAGGGGGGUGGAAUUCCGCGUGUAGCAGUGAAAUGCGUAGAUAUCAGGAGGAACACCGAUGGCGAAGGCAGCUGCCUGGCCUAACACUGACGCUGAGGUGCGAAAGCGUGGGGAGCGAACGGG